UGGUGGAAUUGGUGUUGUAACAUUUCUUUGCCGUUAAAACUCUUAUUCGAAACAUAAUUGAAAAAAGUUGCUUCGAUUGACAUUUCGAAAUGUUAGCAAAACGAAUAAAGUGUUUUUUGAUUUUCUUCGACGUAUUCGGAUACAAUUCAGGAUCAUCUAAAUUAGUCCGAAAGCGAGAGAUGACCUGCUUCAUUUACAUUGUGCAUGUUUUUUUGGUGCUGCUUUUUACACUUUACAAAGUUCGCUUGAUAUUUGAUAUGAUUUCUCAGCCAAUAAUAAUCGAAUUGAUAAAUGCAAUGUUUCAAUACUCUAUUGCCUUAUAUUUUUGGGUGCUUAUUAUAGUGGAUUCGAUUUUCUAUAGACGAGAGCAUCGAGAUUUCUGGGAAACUCUUGAAACAAUCAACGAAUCUUAUUUUGAUAACCGCAACUGCACUUUUGGUUAUUUUAUAUUAAAAAUUGUGCUAUAUUUUAUUACGACUUUUUGUUGUCUAACUGUAGUUACUCUACUAGUUGAUGAAAUGUACGAAUUUGUAUAUGCCUAUUUCAUACUAAUGAAAAUGUGUGAAUUCCGUGUAUUCUACUAUAUAUUCUGUGUUGAAGUUUUACACAAUCAAAUGGUAGCGAUCAAUAAUGGACUCAAACAAAAUAAAAGUGAUACGAAUUUCCGGCUAGAAUCAAAAGGAUUUCAAAAGAUUCGUGAAUAUUACAGCUAUGUUUAUGAAAUGACUAAUUAUUUAAACAACAUAUUCGGUUUGUCUCAAGUGACUGCGAUCUUGUACUGCUUUUACAUGACGAUCACCGAUUUUACUUGGUUUUUUACUCAUGCCUAUGCUCUUUCUAAGGCAAUCAAUAGAAGUAAGUUUUAUCUGAACUAAAAUUCAAACAGUGGUGAAAACAAAAUUUUCAUUAGCCCAAGCCAUUUGGAUUGCGCAUACUCCACUCCUAACGAUUUAUUUAUUUGAAACGGCAACACGGUGUUCCACAGAGGUAAAGUUCGGAAAAGAUUCAUUUAAAUAUUAUAGCCAAAAUAAUGGUGAUUUGAAUACAUUUUUUGUUGUAGAAAAACCAUAUAGUCUUUCAAUUGGGCAACAUCGACCUUAGUGUUUACGACGAUAAAUUUAUGUUACAGGUCGAAACAACGCAAUUGCACCUUAUCCAUCAUUCGAUUUCACUGCAUGCUAAAGGUCUUUUCUCGAUUGACAUUGGGACUUUCUUUAAAGUAAAAUGACACAUUUAAAUUUAAAACCAUCUCUAAAUAAUUUAUCUCAUCAUUUUAGUUUACAGGCGCAAUUAUUACGUAUAUGAUUAUAUACUUUCAAUUUUCGGAUUUGAGCCAUGUGAAAUUAAAUUGAUGAAAACAAACGGAAUUAAUGCGCAUUUCAAUAGCAUUCAAUUAAUAAUGCAUGCAAAAGGCCAUGAUAAUUUGUGCAAAUGAACUCAGAUGAAUGCAAAGAAUGAAUCGAUAAUAUUUUUUUUCGAUUAUGGUUGUUCAUAACUUUCCAUGGACAAUCCACGUUCAGUGGGUAUUUCGCACUUGCUUAGUUCGGCCUUCAUACAAGUUGAUACUUGAAAACUCAUAACAGGUUACAAAAUAAUGUCUCUCGGGACAUGAAUAAAAUUCAAUGAUCAUUGGUUUAUUGGAUUGAAAAUUUUAUACCGUUUAUUGUUUGAAACCCACUUCGGGCAUAUCAACCCGAUUCACUUUGCUUUGAAUUCCAACAAAUUUUCAAGAUUAUUUGAAAAAAUCAAUUGAUUAGGAUCGAGAUGCUGCCAAAAAGAAUAGAAUAUCUUUUGACUUUCUUCGACGUUUUUGGAUACAAUUCAGGAUCAUCCAAAUUAUCUCGACAUCGAAAGAUAACCUGCUUUAUUUACAUCGUGCAUGUUGUGUUGGUGUUACUUUUCAUAGUUUAUAAAUUUCGCUUGAUAUUUGACAUGAUUUCUCUGCCAAUGAUCGAAGCGAUAAAUUCAAUAUUUCAAUACUCGACUACGCUCUAUUUCUAUUUGUUUAUUGUUGUGGAUUCGAUUUUUCAUAAGCGAGAACAUCGAGCUUUCUGGGAAACUCUUGGAAAAAUCAACGACUCUUAUUGUCAUCAAAACAAUACCACUUUUGGCUUUUUUAUAUUGAAGUCAACAGUGUAUCUCCAAACGACACUUUGGUGUCUUCUUGUUGGUACAAUGUUGAAUGGCGAACUCUUUGAUUACAUAUAUGUCUACAUUAUAAUAAUGAAAAUAUGCGAAGUCCGAGUGUUCUACUAUAUAUUCUGUUUGGAAGUCUUACACAAUGAAAUGAAAGUGAUCAAUAAUGAAUUCAAACAAAAUAAGCAUGCCAUGAGUUUUUGGCUUCAAUCAAAAGGAUUUAAAAGGAUUCGUGAAUAUUACAGCUCCAUUUACAAAAUGACUAAUUAUCUAAAUAUGAUAUUUGGUUUAUCUCAAGUGGCUGCAGUCUCGUACUGCUUUUAUAUGAUUCUAACUGACUUGAAUUGGAUGCUAACACAUUUUGAUGAGCUAUUUCUUGCUUUUGCUAUAAGUAAGUCUUAUCCAAAAUACUAAUUUUAAAACUAAUCGAUCAACAUUCAAUGAACGUCUUUCAAUAGAUCAAAUAAUUUGGGUUGCUCAUUCGCCAUUAUUGACAUUUUAUCUAUUCAACACUGCAGCACGGUGUUCCAAAGAGGUAAAGCUUCAUUUAAAUUCAUUAUUUUUAGUUUAAUAAGUUAUAAAAUUAUUUAUUGAAUAUUCGGAUUUAGACAAAGAAUAUAGUUUUUCAAUUGAACAAUAUUGACUUGAAUGUUCGAGAUGAUCUAUUGAUGAUACAGAUCGAAACGUCUCAACUUCACCUUAUUCAUCAUCCAAUUAUGCUGCAUGCUAAGGGACUAUUUUCAAUUGAAAUUGGAACUUGCUUCAAAUUUACAGCCGCAAUCAUUACUUAUAUGGUUAUAUAUGUCCAAUUUUAUGAAGCGUCAUUCAUAAAGAAGACUCCGAUUAUUCAACUGAACAUAAGUUAUAUUACAUAACAUGUCCAUUAAAACCAUGUUAAUAUUUUCGAAUUAUCCUCCCUGAGAAAUCUGCACAUUGGCAUAGUGAAUUU